GGGGAUAACACUUGGAAACAGGUGCUAAUACCGCAUAACCAUAGUUACCGCAUGGUAACUAUGUAAAAGGUGGCUAUGCUACCGCUUUUGGAUGGGCCCGCGGCGCAUUAGCUAGUUGGUGGGGUAAAGGCUUACCAAGGCAAUGAUGCGUAGCCGAACUGAGAGGUUGAUCGGCCACAUUGGGACUGAGACACGGCCCAAACUCCUACGGGAGGCAGCAGUAGGGAAUCUUCCACAAUGGGCGAAAGCCUGAUGGAGCAACGCCGCGUGGGUGAAGAAGGUCUUCGGAUCGUAAAACCCUGUUGUUAGAGAAGAAAGUGCGUGAGAGUAACUGUUCACGUUUCGACGGUAUCUAACCAGAAAGCCACGGCUAACUACGUGCCAGCAGCCGCGGUAAUACGUAGGUGGCAAGCGUUAUCCGGAUUUAUUGGGCGUAAAGGGAACGCAGGCGGUCUUUUAAGUCUGAUGUGAAAGCCUUCGGCUUAACCGGAGUAGUGCAUUGGAAACUGGGAGACUUGAGUGCAGAAGAGGAGAGUGGAACUCCAUGUGUAGCGGUGAAAUGCGUAGAUAUAUGGAAGAACACCAGUGGCGAAAGCGGCUCUCUGGUCUGUAACUGACGCUGAGGUUCGAAAGCGUGGGUAGCAAACAGGAUUAGAUACCCUGGUAGUCCACGCCGUAAACGACGA
rnacentral:rRNA from 1 species